rnacentral:rRNA from 1 species
UUAGAGUGCUUAAAGCGGGCGCAAUGUUUAACGCCAAAACGAAAGUGCAUUGAACGAAAAAAUAAGACCUCGACCGCGCCGUUGUUUCGAUCGGUUUCAGGCGGCCGAGGUGAUGAUUAAGAGAAGCGGCCGGAGGCACACGUAUUGCGUCGCUAGAGGUGAAAUUCGUUGACCGUCGCAAGACGAACCGAGGCGAAGGCGUCUGUCAAGUACGUUUUCAUUAGUCAAGAACGAAAGUCAGAGGAUCGAAGGCGAUCAGAUACCGCCCUAGUUCUGACCGUAAACUUUGCUACCUGACGAUCCGCCGACGUCGUACCCUUGACUCGGCGGGAAGUCUCCGGGAACCUAAGGUUCGUAGCUCCGGGGAAGGUAUGGUUGCAAAACUAGAAACUUAAAGGAAAGUUAGACGGAAGGGACGACCACCAGGAGUGGAGCCUGCGGCUUAAUUCGACUCAACACGGGGAAMSUUACCAGGACCGGGCGCUGAAAGGAUUGACAGAUUGAGAGCUCUUUCUCGAUUUUAGCGGGAGGUGGUGCAUGGCCGUUUCAAGUUGGUGGUGCGAAUUGUCUGGUUGAU